rnacentral:rRNA from 1 species
AAUACGUUCCCGGGCCUUGUACACACCGCCCGUCACACCACGAAAGUCGGCAACACCCGAAGCCGGUGGCCUAACCCUUUAGGGAGGAGCCGUCGAAGGUGGGGUUGGNGAUUGGGGUG